UUUCAAAUCAGCUUGCUGUUUCGUAUAGCUGGUCUGGCCGCAAAAGGCCAAAGCUUUCUUUAAAAGAAACUAAUUUUGCCGAUCUUAUUAUCUCCAGCGUGAAAGUGAGAAAUCAGAAUAAAACGGACGAAAAAAUAAAAGUGGAAGGCUCAAAAUGGCUUGCUGGAGCAAAACAUCGAUUGGACUUAGAAAACGCAAAGAAGACAGAAGUUAAUGAUGGCGAAAAUUCAGCUAGUGAAAAUGGCAGUGUCAAUCAAGAUGAUAAUCCUCCAGAUGCAGACGAUGAAGAAGAAAUUAAUUAAACUAAAAUUUGCAAGAAGAAGCG